rnacentral:lncRNA from 1 species
AGUAAAUAAAAAUAAUAUCACUCUUACUUUUCAAGAGUUGUUAUCUCAUAACCAGCAAACAGACGGCAACAACCAAUAACGGAUCAAGCAACCCUUUUUUUUCUGGGGGGUGUAAUUUUGAGUAUCACAUGACGGGACGGGAGAUGACAGGUAUACACGAGAUACAUAUGUGAAAAAAAAUCUAAGCAUUAACAGCAGAGUGGAUGACCCAGUGCUGCCCAUCAAUUUGAACUUUCAGACCGUUAAUCUUAGCAAACAAAUUUACCGCUCUCCUUACGCCUCUGUUAUCCGCAGCAGUAAAAUAAUCGUGGCCAAAAAUUACCCCACCGGGUCUCAAGAUCCGCCAAGCCCGGUUGAUAUCCGCCCAGGCCGAGUUAAAGUCAUGGCCCGCGUCAAUUUCUAUCAAAUCACCCACCACUCCCCACUCACAAAGUUUGGUUAAAGCCGAGCCGCUGGAAAACGGCACGGGCAAAACCGAAUCGAUGGCGUUUUGGUAAAUUACAUUCUGCAGGAACUGGAAAUAAAGUAAAACGUUGCCGUUUACCAUCGGAAUUUCCUUGAAUUUAUCGCGAAACCCAGGCCAGCCACGGAAGUCGUCGAUACAGAGAAUCUGAGAAUCGAGUCCCAAUUGGCGGGUCAAGUUGGCCAUGUGAAGAGCUGAGGCGCCGAGGAAGGACCCUACUUCGAUGAUGACACGCGGCCUGACUUUAUCAAUGAGGUUUCCGAAAACGGCACCGUAGGAGCCCCACCCCUUGAUGCGACGCCGGCGAAGUAGGUGACUAAUAUGCGGCGGCGGGAAAUUGACGUAAGGGGAGGUGCCGUUGAAGAUUCGGUCAAUGAUGGUUUGACGGACGAGUUGAGGAGGAACUGAGUCGGCGGCGCAGCGAGUCGUGACUCGGAAGUUGUCUAGUAGACUUGGAGGAAGCUGGAUGGUUGAAUUUGAAGUGGCUGUGGCUGUGGCUGUGGCUGCACCUGCACCGGCACGUGGACGUGAUGGUGGUGGUGGUGGUGGUGUGUGGGGUUUUGGGGAGGAUAGGUAACCCAGGGCGUAGGAUAGCAGGAGGAGGAUAAUAUACGCCGUUGGGUUAUUGAAGAGUUUCUUGGUUAUGUACAUGUUUACUUUGUGGUGGAAGCGGUGGUGGUCUUCUUUUGCUCACAUGUUUUGUCGUUUAUUUGGUGAAUUCUUGAUUGUUAAGACUAACUAAUUACUUGAUACAUACGGUUGAUUUAAAGAGAACAACAUCAAGUAAUCAACUACCAGCGGUGACUAACAAUAUACAAUUAUCUUUUCCACAAUUCUAUCUGUGUUUUAAUAAUAACAACUACAAUAAUAAUAUUAAGGUAUGCUUAUGAAACGACUGUCGACUAGGACUACAAAACUACCGAGAAAAAAAAUGGUGAUGAUGGUUAGUGUUUGUGAGAAGGAAAGAGGAUGGAUCUGCUUCUGCUGUGUGGGGUGAGUUAGUAGAAAUUGCGUGUUUACUACACGGAUGAUCAUGAAAAGACUCGAAAACUUGUUGAUUACGAUUUCAGAGGCAUUGUAAAAUACGGGUUGAGUUUUACAAUUCAGCUCAAACCUUUCCCAACCUUUGAUUGGAAUGAAAUGGUAUAAGCUAUGAUGUAUUGAUGAGGGAGAUUAUAGUCUAUUAUAUAUAUAUAUAUCUGCUGUACCGUACAUCCGCCUUGGCCGUACAGCAGAGUUGAAUGCGGAAUUUUUCGUCAUUCACUACGUUUCCAUAUUUAUUUUUGCAAUAAUAUUGUAUUUAUUUAGUUAGAACACUUAUGGUGUAUUUAUUUAUGGGUUUAAAAAAUUAGAAUGAAGGAAUGAGAAUUAAAUUAUUAAUAUUUAUCAUUAUUAUUAUUUAUUAAAAAUAAUAAUAACAAUAAUUAAUAAUAACUAAAAUAAUAAAGUUAAUAAAAUUUAAUAAUAAUAAUAAUAACAACAACAAAAACAAUAAUGAUAAUAUUGUUAAUAAUGAUAAAUUAAUUACUAUUAAUAUGGGUAUUUUGGUAAAUUAAUUAUCAUUCUCAUCCCUUAUUCCUAUUUAUUUUGCCAAGUAAACACAUCAAUGACAUUUCAGCACAUUCACAUUCUUAUUUAUUUUUGCCAAGUAAAUAUUGAAAUCUCAUUUUCAUUCGUCAUUCUCAUUCCAACCAAUUCUCAUUCUCAGCCCAUUCUCAUUUUACUCUAUUUCUAUUCUCAUGAAGUAAACACACAAUUAAAUUUAUAUCUUAAUUGAUGUAAUAAAUAACUUACUAUUAUUAUAUAAUUAAUUCAAGUGAUGAAUAAUUUUUUAAAUUUUUUUAUUCAAAUAAUAAAUCUCUAUUUAUGAUACACCAAUUAAAAUACAAACAGACUAAAUAUUCCAAGUAAAUAAAAAUAAUAUCACUCUUACUUUUCAAGAGUUGUUAUCUCAUAACCAGCAAACAGACGGCAACAACCAAUAACGGAUCAAGCAACCCUUUUUUUUCUGGGGGGUGUAAUUUUGAGUAUCACAUGACGGGACGGGAGAUGACAGGUAUACACGAGAUACAUAUGUGAAAAAAAAUCUAAGCAUUAACAGCAGAGUGGAUGACCCAGUGCUGCCCAUCAAUUUGAACUUUCAGACCGUUAAUCUUAGCAAACAAAUUUACCGCUCUCCUUACGCCUCUGUUAUCCGCAGCAGUAAAAUAAUCGUGGCCAAAAAUUACCCCACCGGGUCUCAAGAUCCGCCAAGCCCGGUUGAUAUCCGCCCAGGCCGAGUUAAAGUCAUGGCCCGCGUCAAUUUCUAUCAAAUCACCCACCACUCCCCACUCACAAAGUUUGGUUAAAGCCGAGCCGCUGGAAAACGGCACGGGCAAAACCGAAUCGAUGGCGUUUUGGUAAAUUACAUUCUGCAGGAACUGGAAAUAAAGUAAAACGUUGCCGUUUACCAUCGGAAUUUCCUUGAAUUUAUCGCGAAACCCAGGCCAGCCACGGAAGUCGUCGAUACAGAGAAUCUGAGAAUCGAGUCCCAAUUGGCGGGUCAAGUUGGCCAUGUGAAGAGCUGAGGCGCCGAGGAAGGACCCUACUUCGAUGAUGACACGCGGCCUGACUUUAUCAAUGAGGUUUCCGAAAACGGCACCGUAGGAGCCCCACCCCUUGAUGCGACGCCGGCGAAGUAGGUGACUAAUAUGCGGCGGCGGGAAAUUGACGUAAGGGGAGGUGCCGUUGAAGAUUCGGUCAAUGAUGGUUUGACGGACGAGUUGAGGAGGAACUGAGUCGGCGGCGCAGCGAGUCGUGACUCGGAAGUUGUCUAGUAGACUUGGAGGAAGCUGGAUGGUUGAAUUUGAAGUGGCUGUGGCUGUGGCUGUGGCUGCACCUGCACCGGCACGUGGACGUGAUGGUGGUGGUGGUGGUGGUGUGUGGGGUUUUGGGGAGGAUAGGUAACCCAGGGCGUAGGAUAGCAGGAGGAGGAUAAUAUACGCCGUUGGGUUAUUGAAGAGUUUCUUGGUUAUGUACAUGUUUACUUUGUGGUGGAAGCGGUGGUGGUCUUCUUUUGCUCACAUGUUUUGUCGUUUAUUUGGUGAAUUCUUGAUUGUUAAGACUAACUAAUUACUUGAUACAUACGGUUGAUUUAAAGAGAACAACAUCAAGUAAUCAACUACCAGCGGUGACUAACAAUAUACAAUUAUCUUUUCCACAAUUCUAUCUGUGUUUUAAUAAUAACAACUACAAUAAUAAUAUUAAGGUAUGCUUAUGAAACGACUGUCGACUAGGACUACAAAACUACCGAGAAAAAAAAUGGUGAUGAUGGUUAGUGUUUGUGAGAAGGAAAGAGGAUGGAUCUGCUUCUGCUGUGUGGGGUGAGUUAGUAGAAAUUGCGUGUUUACUACACGGAUGAUCAUGAAAAGACUCGAAAACUUGUUGAUUACGAUUUCAGAGGCAUUGUAAAAUACGGGUUGAGUUUUACAAUUCAGCUCAAACCUUUCCCAACCUUUGAUUGGAAUGAAAUGGUAUAAGCUAUGAUGUAUUGAUGAGGGAGAUUAUAGUCUAUUAUAUAUAUAUAUAUCUGCUGUACCGUACAUCCGCCUUGGCCGUACAGCAGAGUUGAAUGCGGAAUUUUUCGUCAUUCACUACGUUUCCAUAUUUAUUUUUGCAAUAAUAUUGUAUUUAUUUAGUUAGAACACUUAUGGUGUAUUUAUUUAUGGGUUUAAAAAAUUAGAAUGAAGGAAUGAGAAUUAAAUUAUUAAUAUUUAUCAUUAUUAUUAUUUAUUAAAAAUAAUAAUAACAAUAAUUAAUAAUAACUAAAAUAAUAAAGUUAAUAAAAUUUAAUAAUAAUAAUAAUAACAACAACAAAAACAAUAAUGAUAAUAUUGUUAAUAAUGAUAAAUUAAUUACUAUUAAUAUGGGUAUUUUGGUAAAUUAAUUAUCAUUCUCAUCCCUUAUUCCUAUUUAUUUUGCCAAGUAAACACAUCAAUGACAUUUCAGCACAUUCACAUUCUUAUUUAUUUUUGCCAAGUAAAUAUUGAAAUCUCAUUUUCAUUCGUCAUUCUCAUUCCAACCAAUUCUCAUUCUCAGCCCAUUCUCAUUUUACUCUAUUUCUAUUCUCAUGAAGUAAACACACAAUUAAAUUUAUAUCUUAAUUGAUGUAAUAAAUAACUUACUAUUAUUAUAUAAUUAAUUCAAGUGAUGAAUAAUUUUUUAAAUUUUUUUAUUCAAAUAAUAAAUCUCUAUUUAUGAUACACCAAUUAAAAUACAAACAGACUAAAUAUUCCAAGUAAAUAAAAAUAAUAUCACUCUUACUUUUCAAGAGUUGUUAUCUCAUAACCAGCAAACAGACGGCAACAACCAAUAACGGAUCAAGCAACCCUUUUUUUUCUGGGGGGUGUAAUUUUGAGUAUCACAUGACGGGACGGGAGAUGACAGGUAUACACGAGAUACAUAUGUGAAAAAAAAUCUAAGCAUUAACAGCAGAGUGGAUGACCCAGUGCUGCCCAUCAAUUUGAACUUUCAGACCGUUAAUCUUAGCAAACAAAUUUACCGCUCUCCUUACGCCUCUGUUAUCCGCAGCAG